AUACGUAGGGGGCAAGCGUUAUCCGGAUUUACUGGGUGUAAAGGGAGCGUAGACGGAAGGCCAAGUCUGAUGUGAAAGCCCGCGGCUCAACUGCGGGACUGCAUUGGAAACUGGUCAUCUGGAGUGCAGGAGGGGUAAGCGGAAUUCCUAGUGUAGCGGUGAAAUGCGUAGAUAUUAGGAGGAACACCGGUGGCGAAGGCGUCUUACGGAAUUGUAACGGGCUUUGGGGCUCAAAAGGUGGGGGAGCAAAAAGGUUUGAAUCCCCUGGUGGUCGACGCCGUAAACAAUGAAUGCAAGUUGUGGGGUUUCUAAAAAGAUUCGGUGCGCAGCAAACGCAAUAAGUAUUCCACCUGGGGAGUACGUUCGCAAGAAUGAAACUCAAAUGAAUUGACGGGG
rnacentral:rRNA from 1 species